AUUGAACGCUGGCGGCAGGCCUAACACAUGCAAGUCGAGCGGAGCGGCGGACGGGUGAGUAAUACCUAGGAAUCUGCCUGGUAGUGGGGGAUAACGUCCGGAAACGGGCGCUAAUACCGCAUACUAUCAGAUGAGCCUAGGUCGGAUUAGCUAGUUGGUGGGGUAAAGGCCUACCAAGGCGCCGAUCCGUAACUGGUCUGAGAGGAUGAUCAGUGACCCUGGAACUGAGACACAGUCCAGACUCCUACGGGAGGCAGCAGUGGGGAAUAUUGGACAAUUGGCGAAAGCCUGAACCAGCCAUGCCGCGUGUGUGAAGAAGUGCUUCGGAUUGUAAAGCACUUUAGGUUGGGAGGCGUUACCAACAGAAUAAGCACCGGCUAACUUGGUGCCAGCAGCCGCGGUAAGAC
rnacentral:rRNA from 1 species